CGACCCGAAAGAUGGUGAACUAUACUUGAGCAGCCUGAAGCCUGAGGAAACUCAGGUGGAAGGGCGCAGCGGUACUGACGUGCAAAUCGUUCGUCAGACUUGAGUAUAGGGGCGAAAGACUAAUCGAACCAUCUAGUAGCUGGUUCCCUCUGAAAUUUCUCUCAGGAUAGCUGGAACAAAUCUAGCAGUUUUAUCAGGUAAAGCGAAUGAUUAGAGGACUCGGAGCUCAAAGAGCUUUGACCUAUUCUCAAACUUUAAAUUGGUAAGAUCUUUUAGUUCUCUUAAUUGAACUGAAAGGAAGAAUGCUUGUUCCAAGUGGGCUUAUCGUGGUAAGCAUGUUAAGCAAUGAGGGAUGAACCUACCGCUGAGAUAAGGCGCCAAAAUUCCCGCUCAUCAGAUACCAUAAAAGGUGUUGAUUCAUAUAGACAGCAGGACGGUGGCCAUGGAAGUCGGAAUCCGCUAAGGAGUGUGUUACGACUCACCUGCCGAAUGAACUAGCCCUGAAAAUGGAUGGCGCUCAAGCGUGUCACCCAUACUCAACCGUCAAGGCAAAUUGGGACCUUGACGAGUAGGAGGGCGUGGAGGUUGUGAAGAAGCCUAGGCAGUGAUGCCGGGUGAAACAGCCUCUAGUGCAGAUCUUGGUGGUAGUAGCAAAUAUUCAAAUGAGAACUUUGAAGACUGAAGUGGAGAAAGGUUCCAUGUGAACAGCAGUUGGACAUGGGUUAGUCGAUCCUAAGAGAUAGGGGAAACCCGUACUGAAGGAGGCACUACUUGCAUUAGUUUUGCCUUCUCCUAUCGAAAGGGAAUCGGGUUAAUAUUCCCGAACUCGGACGUGGAUAUCGGUGCUUGCACCAGAUGCGGUAACGCAAACGAACCCGGAGACGCUGGCAGAAGCCCUGGGAAGAGUUCUCUCUUCUUUGUUAGGGAUGAAUUCCGUGGAAUCGCUUCGCGCGGAGAUACGGAUGUUGUUCCCGUAAAGCAUCGCGGUUUUGCGGUGUCCGGUGCGCUUCUUCUGGCCCUUGAAAAUCCGGGUAAGAGAUUGAUUUUCACGCCGAAUCGUACCCAUAUCCGCAGCAGGUCUCCAAGGUGAACAGCCUCUAGUCUUUGAACAAUGUAGGCAAGGGAAGUCGGCAAAUUAGAUCCGUAACUUCGGGAAAAGGAUUGGCUCUAAGGGCUGGGCCGUUCGAGCUCCGGUUAGAAGCGGUGGUCGAUGCGUAGGAACUGGGUAAACUGAUCGUAAGGUUGGUGAACUCGGACCUUAGUCAUUGUGCUGCCGUGGAAGGCCGAAGCUACGUCGUGUGAUUCUUCGCGGGAUUGCCGAUUUCGGGCGGCGCUAAGCAGCCAACUUAGAACUGGUACGGACACGGGGAAUCCGACUGUCUAAUUAAAACAAAGCAUUGCGAUGGCCUGAGAAGGUGUUGACGCAAUGUGAUUUCUGCCCAGUGCUCUGAAUGUCAAAGUGAAGAAAUUCAAUCAAGCGCGG
rnacentral:rRNA from 1 species